rnacentral:rRNA from 1 species
GACAGAGGGGGCAAGCGUUGUCCGGAGUUACUGGGCGUAAAGGGCGCGGAGGCGGUCUGCGGCGUCGGCGCUGAAAGCGCCCCGCUUAACGGGGCGAGGCGUGCCGAUACGCGCAGACUUGAGGCGAGCAGAGGGUGGUGGAAUUCCGGGUGGAGCGGUGAAAUGCGUAGAGAUCCGGAGGAACGCCAGUGGGGAAGCCGGACACCGGGGCUCGUCCUGACGCUGCAGUGUGACCGCGUGGGGAGCAAACCGG